rnacentral:rRNA from 1 species
CUGGUUGAUCCUGCCAGAGGUUACUGCUAUCGAGAUUCGACUAAGCCAUGCGAGUCGAAUGUUCUUCGUGAACAUGGCGAACUGCUCAGUAACACGUGGACAACCUACCCUUGGGUUCGGCAUAAUCCUGGGAAACUGGGGAUAAUACCGGAUAGGUCACAGCUGCUGGAAUGCACUGUGGCUCAAAGCUCCGGCGCCCAAGGAUGGGUCUGCGGCCUAUCAGGGUUGUAGUGGGUGUAAUGUACCUACUAGCCUACGACGGGUACGGGUUGUGAGAGCAAGAGCCCGGAGAUGGAUUCUGAGACACGAAUCCAGGCCCUACGGGGUGCAGCAGGCGCGAAAACUUUACAAUGCGGGAAACCGUGAUAAGGGAAUCUCGAGUGCCAGCAUAUAAUGUUGGCUGUCCAGAUGCCUAAAAAGCAUCUGUUAGCGAGGGCCGGGCAAGACCGGUGCCAGCCGCCGCGGUAACACCGGCGGCCCGAGUGGUAACCGCUAUUAUUGGAUCUAAAGGGUCUGUAGCCGGCCAGGUAAGUCCCUUGGGAAAUCUGGCAGCUCAACUGUGAGGCUGCUAGGGGAUACUGUUUGGCUUGGGACCGGGAGAGGUGAGAGGUACCUUGGGGGUAGGGGUGAAAUCUUGUGAUCCUCGGGGGACCACCAGUGGCGAAGGCGUCUCACCAGAACGGGUCCGACGGUGAGGGACGAAAGCUAGGGGCACGAACCAGAUUAGAUACCCGGGUAGUCCUAGCCGUAAACGAUGCUCGCUAGGUGUCAGUCACGGUGCGACCGUGAUUGGUGCCGUAGGGAAGCCGUGAAGCGAGCCACCUGGGAAGUAUGGCCGCAAGGCUGAAACUUAAAGGAAUUGGCGGGGGAGCACCAC